UCCCGAGCUCCAAUGUCUGCAUAGCUACCAGACCGAAUGUUUGGAACAAAAUCUAUGGAAGCUGAUUUUAUAUGCACAUCUUCAACGAUAUCCGAACAAUUAACUGCCUGCUUGAGCAAAGAUAAAAGGAGCAGGGUAAGAAAUUCUCUAGACAUUCGAGAAUUUGGUAUUGAAUGCAUUACAAUAAAUUAAUAAUACAAGAGCAGAAAACAAAAAAAAUAUGUCGUGCUAAGCAAUUACUAACUAGUAGAAGUAGACCAUGAAAAGACAAUGAACAACCAAGAUUCUUUGCUAUGAAAAGCCCAAAAGGGUCUAGCACGAACACGAAAUAAAGAGGUGGCUGGGUGAUUUAGACCCAUUAGUGCAUAUAAUACCUCACAAAGUAGACAAACAAAUGCCAGACAAUCUGCAUUGUAGCUUGCCUUUGGUGAUAAAGCACGAGUGGCCAAGCUCCCAGCCUCUCAUAUAAAGAACUUCAUAAUGUUUGGGAUAUAUUCUCCUCCAAAUUGAUUUUUGAAAAGCUUCUUUACCUUGAAUACUCAUCAAUGAAAAGGUUGUGGAAGAUUUUUGAAGAAAAACCAUUAUUGUCUAGUUCCAUUCCCAUAUGAUCUCUCAGUUGUUAGAAAGGGCAUGUGAGAGUCCUGCCCAUUCAACAAUUUCAGUAUCUUACAUGUCUUCUAAGCCUUAAUUUCAGCAUGCUGAUUCACUAGGCCAUAAAUAUAGAGGCUGCUUUAUUGAGAAUGAGGGAAAAUACGGAAGGGUCAACAUCCCUCAAUGGCUUAUUACCGUUAAUUUGAAAAAAAUAAAUUGAAGUCAAAUCACACAAGGGUAGAAAAUCUUUCCAUACUCAUCGAUAAUAGCCCACAACAUUAAUUUUCCUAUGUCCAACUUGUAGCAUUAAAAAUAAAAUCAGCAAAAAAUAGUGAAAGAAACCUCCCAACCUAUAGAAUAUUGCAACUAUUGUUCCAAAGUUAGGAUCAACUAUAAGGAUAGAGCUUUUGAAUGCAACGUGCUUCACCUAUGCCAUGGCCCUCACACUCCCCAUGAAAUUAUUAUCAUAGAAUAGUUAAUAGAACUGUACAGAAGUAUUCAAGGUCUACAGCUCACAGCAACCACAUCUCUUCUUGUGUGUGCUUUCUUUCUUGGUAUUAAAGGGGAGAUCUUGGGUGGAUGUUUGGAAUUUGUUAGGUGAAUUCUUCACCGUGGACAUAGUUUUUCUUAUUACUAGCUUGGUCACAUUGUUUUGGAUUGGGAUCCAUAUUGUAGCUAGUGUUGUAAGCCCUUUUUGCGGGCUUUUUUUUUUCUUUUUUUUUUUUUGUUUGUUUGAUUCAUAUGACAGAAGUCAGCAGAGAACCAAGGAACCUUAGACUAGAGAUUAAAAACAAAUAAGUUAUUCAACACUUUGGGAUGCACCAAAAUAGAUGAGAGUUUUUCAGGGAUGCCCUAUGGCUGUAGUAGCUAUUCCACAUCAUCUUGCAUUAACUCUGCUAGGACGUGGCUAUACCUUACAUCUUCAUCUUGCUAAAGCUAGCAAAAAAUUAUUAAGGCCCCAAAUAAAAAUAAAAUCAAAUUGUUUUGAGUCCCAUUCAAGCGGGAGCAAGAAGGAAUGGCAAUUAUCUUAUUUCUACCAAAAUCAAUAAAUAGAAUAAUGUUAAUUGUCAACCAAACACGAUUUGAAGAUUAUCGUAAGUUUACAGCUGUUUUUCCAAUCCUACCUAAACAUACGACAUGAAAAUUAAACGUAAUAAGGCAUUCUAAUUCCAGGAAAAAGAGGAAAUCCAAUAAGAGAAAGAUAAACAGAGCAUUUACAAUCAAAUUAUGGUAAAAGCAACAGAUCAAACCCCGAUCAACAUGAAUACGAGCAUGCCCUCCACAAGAAAGGAACAAAAAACGAUCCCCACAUACAGUAUUCCACAAGAAAAAACGUAAAGAUAUGAGAAAUGAGAAGAACAACGAAG
rnacentral:lncRNA from 1 species